UUUUGCAUUUUGCCCUCAGUUUUGCCUUGUUCUUUGUUGUGCGUUAAAUGUGUGAUUUCCAGCCGUUUUGGGUAAUUCACAGAGGAGUUUAUCUGGAUUUAGACGCAGCAGUGUGAACAUGUCCAGAGAGUUGUUACAUCUGCGAAAAUUCAGCGUUAAGAGAUCCUACAAUCGCACAGGUUGUGUUUGGACCGCUGCCCUCAGGGGAACGUGUAAUCAUUCACUGUACAGUGCAGACGUCAGCUUUACUGGAACCAGAUGGAGAGACAGAGUCUGUGUUUACCUGGACCAGUGGGCACAUAUAUGACCGUCCCCGACAGACAUGUGAAAUCUGACCUCAGGUCAGCCAGAGAGACUGUUCUCCAUCCAAACGUUCAGUUUGUGACACUUGGACGUGCGGGAUGGUGCCAGUUUGCCGGAGGCGUAUUCUGAGUGUGUCCGCUAUCAGAAACAGGAUGGCAUCAGCUCAGUGUGUGUUUCUCGUCUGUGAGGAUCUCUGGACGGAUGGACCUGCGGGUUUGAUCU